AUACACAAUCCAUGUCUCAAUUGUCUCAAGGCUUAAAAAUCCUUCUUUAGCCUGUCUCCCUUCCUUCAUCUAUACAAAUGUAAGUAUAUUUAACAAGUGACAUCGAUAAGGGAUCAUAGCUUUCACCUGGAUUCACCUGGUCAGUCUAUGUCAUGGAAAGAGCAGGUGUUCCUAAUGUUGUGUCUACAUCACACAGAAUCACUGCAAAUCUGUGAAGACUGGUGCUCAUCUGGUAUCAACCCACAAUGCUGAGGAAAACAAUGCCCUGGAUGAAUUCACUCAGUGGAGCAGCCGACCAAACCCUCGCAUCUGGCUCGGUGGUUAUGCACUAACUGACCCUUCACAGGUGUUAAUAAUCAUAAGAACUAGUGGUGGGCACCAAAAUCCAUGAUAUCGAUAUUGCUUGAUGUAUCAAUAUGAGCAAGGCAUAUCGUGAUAUUGGUUUAUCCCUUCCUGUUAACAUACACUUUUAUGUAAAAGGGAAUACAUGAUUGUGCCUCUUACAGACCUUCUCACAGGCUCUCAACUGAGCAUACAUAAUUGCCUGCUAUUGGGCCAUCGACAAUGGAUGGAAACUGGUUGGGUGGGUUUAGGCUUCUAGAACAUUCACACCUGGUCCAAUGGGCAAUCAGCAAGCCGUUGUCUAGACUUCAUAGAACCGUGGAAGUCAACAGAAAAGUGAACAUUCAUGUGGUUGCAAGGUUGUCAUGAAGCCAGUACAUACACUGAGCGUAUAAAACAUUAGGAACACCUUCCUAAUAUUGGUUUUGAAAGCAUUCCACAGGGAUGCUUGCAAGGGAAAUGUUGACUCCAAUGCUUCCCACAGUUGUGUCAAGUUGGCUGGAUGUCCUUUGGGUGGUGGACCAUUCUUGAUACACACGGGAAACUGUUGAGCAUGAAAAACCAAGCAGUGUUACUUUUCUUCACACACUCAAACCAGUGCGCCUGCCACCAACUACCAUACCUCGUUCAAAGGCACCUAAAUAUUUUGUCUUGUCCAUUCACCCUCUGAAUGGCACAUAUACACAAUCCAUGACUCAAUUGUCUCAAGGCUUAAAAAUCCUUCUUUAGCCUGUCUCCCUUCCUUCAUCUAUACAAAUGUAAGUAUAUUUAACAAGUGACAUCGAUAAGGGAUCAUAGCUUUCACCUGGAUUCACCUGGUCAGUCUAUGUCAUGAAAAGAGCAGGUGUUCUUAAUGUUUUGUAUACUCAGUGUAUA
rnacentral:lncRNA from 1 species